GUAAAGGAUUAUUUAAGUUUAACGUUUAAGUACGAUAAUAUUUUCGCGUGGUCGGGUUCCUCGCGAGACCACGAUCCGUGUCCGUGGCGCAUCGACUCGCGACUUGUAACGAGCUAUUUUUACGCCUAGUGUCUACCUGCCAUGUACACAACUCUUGAAACUUUUGUUAAUCACUUUCUUCGUCGCUUGUUUCGCGAACGAGCUGUGAUCGCAUGCCAAACUUUCCUCGUACUUGACAUGCAGUUCAACCACCCAACCGUCUAUUCAACUGUGAAAUAUGUCGAAAAUAUCUAUAUCGCUAUAUCGGUUUAUUUCCGUUCGUGUCCCUUAUAUCUGUACAAAACAAGAAUUUCACGGUCCUCCAAGGGUUAGGAUAGGUUGUUUAAGGUUGAACUUGAAAUCCGUCGAUAUAUCGAUGCAUUUCUCGGAGAAAAUGUGAAAGGCUGUUCGAGCAGUCUGGUCUCCGAUGGAAAUUGACCUCCUUUCGGUGUUUCCAGUUUCCAAGCAUCAUCCGUGGCCGUGUACCCUGGCCACGAAACGCAUCAAACCAGAGAGAUUAAAAGAUAAAGGACGUUUUGUAAUAGCUGUAUCGAAUUGUUUAGAUUGGGUGUCGCUAAAUGUUACAAUAUAGUAUAAUAUAAUCCCCGUCGAAUUGUCACGAUGAUUCUCGGAGAUGGAGUGAAAGUAGUGCAGCGAAGAAGACUAGUCGAUUUGAAAAGGAGCGUUUUACUAUCGAAUGCGAUCUCGUUCAAAAGAAGAAAGAAAAAAACAAACUUUCUAGUGGAAUGCGCGUGAUCGACACGGUACCUGGAACUUUCUCGCAGCACCAUUUGUUUUCGUUGACGCUUCGGGUCACGCGAAUUUCUGAAUGCGAACGAAACGCAAACAUCGAAUCUGCUUUUCAGUCUGAUGUAUCGCUAUUACUAUUACUAUUAUUACUCGUAUUUUUAUCUUUCAUAUCUCUGGUACUGUGCGUGUAGAAUGUUGCGACUCAACGUUAAUGGAAAGGUUUAUCGACUCUGGCCAACUUGUACCAGCCUAUCAGUCUCUCGUGUUGGUUCUUUCGAUCUUUCAUCGAUUAAAACUUUCACUCGAGCUAAUUAUUAUAACUUUUUACGGCAAAUAAAGCUAUCUUUUCUUU